rnacentral:ncRNA from 2 species
GGCAAAGUAGGUUGAUGUGCGUUAAGUGCCAGAUGGACGGGAAGUUGCCACUGGACGAAAAACUGCUUUACCAGUUUACGGUACAUCAUCCGCAUUCCGUUGCC